rnacentral:rRNA from 1 species
UACCCAGGUAGUCCACGCCGUAAACGAUGAGUGCUAAGUGUUAGGGGGUUUCCGCCCCUUAGUGCUGCAGCUAACGCAUUAAGCACUCCGCCUGGGGAGUACGGUCGCAAGACUGAAACUCAAAGGAAUUGACGGGGGCCCGCACAAGCGGUGGAGCAUGUGGUUUAAUUCGAAGCAACGCGAAGAACCUUACCAGGUCUUGACAUCCCACUGACCGCUAUGGAGACAUAGUUUUCCCUUCGGGGACAGUGGUGACAGGUGGUGCAUGGUUGUCGUCAGCUCGUGUCGUGAGAUGUUGGGUUAAGUCCCGCAACGAGCGCAACCCUUGAUCUUAGUUGCCAUCAUUUAGUUGGGCACUCUAAGGUGACUGCCGGUGACAAACCGGAGGAAGGUGGGGAUGACGUCAAAUCAUCAUGCCCCUUAUGACCUGGGCUACACACGUGCUACAAUGGACGGUACAAACGGUUGCCAACCCGCGAGGGGGAGCUAAUCCGAUAAAACCGUUCUCAGUUCGGAUUGUAGGCUGCAACUCGCCUACA